GAUCUCCCUGAGAGAGACAGUGUGAGUGGAGGGGAGGUGAGGGGGAAGAAGGGAGGGAGUAAGUCAGCCAAUGAACAACCAUUACACAACAGAGUCGAGCCCAGAUGGUGAAGAGGAAGGGAGAUUGAAGGAAUGGGAUGUGGAGAUGACUUGUUUCAGCCGAAGUGAGAAUGAGAUGACAAAGAUGGGAUACAAAGACACAAAACAUAAGGUGAACUAUUGCAUGGAUUACCAUAAACCUUUGUGCAGAUGUUCAUUCAUGGUCCCAGAGGAUGAAGCCUACUGCCUUUGCUCCAGCACCACUCUGUCCAGCCCGCUACGCACAGCUCGGAUCAGAACCACAGACCCAUCCGGGCCACACCACUCCGCUGACUGCAAUG